CACGCCCUCAUCUCUUCCGUCAGGCGCCAUCUUAGCUCUAAACCGCAAACCUAGCCCUUCUUUUUUCAAGGUUUCCCAUUUAGGGCCCCACAAUACAUCAGUAAUAGAAAAUUUAAGAAAGCCUAAGACUCAUUUUUAUAAGUUAAAUUUGUCCUACUACAAUGGUUACUUAAGUACUUGGAAGGUUCUUCCAGUACUCUUGCCUAGAGAAUGCCAUGGACAGAGAAGCCCGGCAGGCUGCAGUUCACGCAGUCACACAGAGUCUGACACGACUAGCGCAACUAAGCAGCAGCAGCAGUUUUUAAUUCACAGAUUUGUUAUCAGGGUAACUUUGGCUAUGCAGUGCUGUAGCGGGGAGCAGGAGCUGCACGGAGCUGCAGUGGGGAGCAGCUGAGAGGAGAUACCCCAUGUCCAAGAUUUGUGUUCACUGAGCCAGGGAGAGUCGCCUUUAUACAAGAUCCUGGACCUGGAAGGAGUAAGAAGGGCCAGUGAUGACUGUCCUAAAAAGGCUGUGUGCUCAUUUCUUACUUUUAGAAGACCAUACUUGGAGAUCAACACCAUCACUGAAAAAAACACCUUUGAGUCCUGCAAUGUUUCAUGAACACUGGAAUUAUAUUUUCUUUGUUCUAACCCCAGCCUCUGAAUCAGAG
ensembl:lncRNA